rnacentral:rRNA from 1 species
GAUGAACGCUGGCGGCGUGCUUAACACAUGCAAGUCGAACGGGAAUUAUUUUAUUGAUCCUUCGGUCGAUUUAAUUUAAUUCUAGUGGCGGACGGGUGAGUAACGCGUGGGAACCUGGCUUAUAACGGGGGGAAACAGGCAAGAAUGGCUGCUAAUACCGCCUAAGGGCACAGGGGUGCAUGGCUCCGUGUGGAAAAAUCCGGUGGGAUAAUAUGGAACCCCGUUGGGUUAGGUGGUUGGUGGGGUAACGGCCCACCAAGGCGACGACCCAUAGCCGGCCUGAGAGGGUGAACGGCCACAUUGGGACUGAGACACGGCCCAGACUCCUACGGGAGGCAGCAGUGGGGAAUAUUGCACAAUGGGGGAAACCCUGAUGCAGCGACGCCGCGUGAAGGAAGAAGUAUCUCGGUAUGUAAACUUCUAUCAGCAGGGAAGAUAGUGACGGUACCUGACUAAGAAGCCCCGGCUAACUACGUG